UCCAAAGAGAUAUUCUUUAUAAAAGUUAAGAGUCGGUUGGCGCCUAUAGCCUUGUGGUUAGUGUGUCGACAUAUAGCGCAACUGCACUUACGGCGAACCGAGUUCAAAUCCCACUUUGGGAUCAG